rnacentral:rRNA from 1 species
ACACGUAUGUAACCUACCUUUACCAGGGGGAUAGCCUCUCGAAAGAGAGAUUAAGACCGCAUAACACUAUUUUACGGCAUCGUAGAAUAAUCAAAUAUUUAUAGGGUAAAGAUGGGCAUGCGGAACAUUAGCUAGUUGGUGCGGUAAUGGCGCACCAAGGCUACGAUGUUUAGGGGAUCUGAGAGGAUGGCCCCCCACACUGGUACUGAGACACGGACCAGACUCCUACGGGAGGCAGCAGUAAGGAAUAUUGGUCAAUGGGCGGAAGCCUGAACCAGCCAUGCCGCGUGCAGGAAGACGGCCCUAUGGGUUGUAAACUGCUUUUGCAGGGGAAUAAACCUUCGUAUGUAUACGAAGCUGAAUGUACUCUGAGAAUAAGGAUCGGCUAACUCCGUGCCAGCAGCCGCGGUAAUACGGAGGAUCCAAGCGUUAUCCGGAUUUAUUGGGUUUAAAGGGUGCGUAGGUGGCUUUUUAAGUCAGGGGUGAAAGACGGUAGCUUAACUAUCGCAGUGCCUUUGAUACUGAAGAGCUUGAAUACACUAGAGGUAGGCGGAAUGUGACAAGUAGCGGUGAAAUGCAUAGAUAUGUCACAGAACACCAAUUGCGAAGGCAGCUUACUAUGGUGUUAUGACACUGAGC